rnacentral:rRNA from 1 species
UACGUAGGGGGGCAAGCGUUGUCCGGAUUUACUGGGCGUAAAGAGCGUGUAGGCGGCCAAGCAGGUCCGUUGUGAAAACUGGAGGCUUAACCUCCAGACGUCGACGGAAACCGCGUGGCUAGAGUCCGGAAGAGGAGAGUGGAAUUCCUGGUGUAGCGGUGAAAUGCGCAGAUAUCAGGAGGAACACCAAUUGCGAAGGCAGCUCGCUGGGACGUUACUGACGCUGAGACGCGAAAGCGUGGGGGAGCAAAACAGG